AUUGAACGCUGGCGGCAGGCCUAACACCUGCAAGUCGAACGGAGUGGCGGACGGGUGAGUAAUGUCUGGGAAACUGCCUGAUGGAGGGGGAUAACUACUGGCAACGGUAUCUAAUACCGCCUCAUAUCCGAUGAGCCUAGGUCGGAUUAGAUAGUUGGUGGGGUAAAGGCACACCAAGGCGACGAUCCGUCACUGGUCUGAGGGGAUUAUCAGUCACACUGGGACUGAGACACGGGCCAGACUCCUACGGGAGGCAGCAGUGGGGAAUAUUGGACAAUGGGCGAAAUCCUGAUCCAGCCAUGCCGCGUGUGUGAAGAAGGUCUUCGGAUUGUAAAGCACUUUAAUUUGGGAGGCGUUACCAACAGAAUAAGCACCGGCUAACUUCGUGCCAGCAGCCGCGGUAAUAC
rnacentral:rRNA from 1 species